rnacentral:rRNA from 1 species
CCUACGGGAGGCACCAGUGGGGAAUAUUGCACAAUGGGCGCAAGCCUGAUGCAGCCAUGCCGCGUGUAUGAAGAAGGCCUUCGGGUUGUAAAGUACUUUCAGCGGGGAGGAAGGUGUUGUGGUUAAUAACCGCAGCAAUUGACGUUAUCCGCAGAAGAAGCACCGGCUAACUCCGUGCCAGCAGCCGCGGUAAUACGGAGGGUGCAAGCGUUAAUCGGAAUUACUGGGCGUAAAGCGCACGCAGGCGGUCUGUCAAGUCGGAUGUGAAAUCCCCGGGCUCAACCUGGGAACUGCAUUCGAAACUGGCAGGCUAGAGUCUUGUAGAGGGGGGUAGAAUUCCAGGUGUAGCGGUGAAAUGCGUAGAGACCAGGAGGAAUACCGGUGGCGAAGGCGGCCCCCUGGACAAAUACUGACGCUCAGGCGCGAAAGCGUGGGGAGCAAACAGGAUUAGAUACCCGGGUAGUC